CAAGUAUCAUAAGACACCAGAGAUAUCAGUGCAGGAACAAACAAGGAACUUUUGAAGUAAGUAAUACCCCAAUUUGGUUAAUCUGGUAGCUGUAUUCAUGUGAUAUAAUUUGCUGUUUCAGAUUCCAUACUUCAGGGAACUACCAGUGGGGCGUGCCAAUGCCAUCCGAGUACCCAGGAAGAACAUCCCGAAUGAAAUGGAUAAUUUCCCGUUUUAUUUGGAUACACAUUCGAUCAAUCGCACCCAUUCUACAAGCAAGAUACGAACAAAUUGGAAUCGAAACAGGAAGCUGUGUGUUGUUGCGCUCAUCAAGGAAAUUAAUGGAAAGGAUCAUAUAGUGCCUUCGAAGGUACACCGAAGCUUGGAAUGUGAAGUUUUCGCGGAAAAAAGUGUCUACCGCCACCGAUGAGUUGCUGGCCGAAAGUGUUCCUGUACAUAAAUAAAACCAGUUCACAAACGUAUUUCUGCUGCUAAAGCUUAAAAAAUGUCCCUUGAUGUUAUAUUUU